ensembl:lncRNA
CCUGACUUCUAAGGGGUGUUAUUAUUUGUGAUUACGCCAAACAGCCUAGAAUUAUAUCAGUACAACAUCACAUUUUUCUUUUCUGUUUGCAGGAAGAUUUGGUGUUGAUGGAGGAGGCAACAUCUUCAAGGCAAAACCUUAGACCUGAUGCAACAUCAUCCAGUGUCACAAUCACCCUUUAGGAGGUGCAAAAGCAAAAGCUAAAUUGAACAUUGUCAAUCAUCAAUUCCUAUUUUACAAAAUUUGUCCUGCAUACAUUUUUAUCUUUAAUGUGUAGGCACUUGAAGACCAGUGCCCAAUAUGCACAGGAACAUUUCCAGUGUCAGAAGUAGACCUGCCAUGCCAGAUUUUGUGGAAACAGGUCGAAAUCCCCUCUGACCUCAAGAUUUUCUUCUGGAAGUGUUCUGGACGCGUUUUUGUUUUCCCUUUGCUUCACUUAGAGUCUUUCAUGUUGAGCAGAAGUUAAUUUCUCUGUCUCUGUUUCUCUGUUGCACUUGAUACAGAAUCUCUGGGUGAGCGUCACCAGCUGUG